rnacentral:lncRNA from 1 species
CCCCUGUCUGUAUCACUGUGGGUCCCCUAUCUCCAAUACAUGGCUUCCAAAAUUGAUACGAGGUCGUUUCCAUCUUUAUUCCAGCCAUGUCAAAUGGGGAAAUGAGUAUGGAGAAUUUUGAGGGGAAGGACAUUGAGGCGGAAGGACACUGAUUUUAGGGGCAAGGCUGGACAUCCCAUAUGUCAAUUUAAUCCACAUUCCAGUGACCAGAAUUCACAUAGCAGUUUCUGCCACUAAGGACAUGAAUGAAAAAAUUUAAGCAAACUAAAGGUGUGUAUUUGUUCAUUCAUGCACUGCUAUAAAGAAAUACCUGAGACUGGGUAAUUUAUAAAGAAAAGAAGUUAAUUGACUCAGUUCUGCAGGCAAUACAGGAAGCAAGAUGCUGUCAUCCGCUUGGCUUCAGCUUUCUCCUGAACCAUGGAAUAUUAAUCAAAGGUGUGUUUCACAUGACUUCUCAGAAAGCCUACAGGGAUGACUCAAGUAGUACACAGAGAAAACUUGUUCAUUAGUCUGCCCUGUUCUGUGCUUCCCCAGAAAAC